CAUUUUUUAAUUCUUUAUUGUACUUAGUUUUAUUAGCACUUAAACAUUAAGUAAAGCUAAACUUGUAAACAAACACAUUGCUCCUGUAACAACUACAGAUCAAUAUAAGAUAAAAACACUGCUUGUUUCACUCUAAAUUAAUUAUAAUCAAGUACUGUGCAAUCAGAGAUGGUAUAACUACGAAUAAUCACGAAUCACCAUUUAUAAGGUGACCUAUUUCUACAAUACUGCAUUAAUACUGAAUCUGGUCUCAGGGAAUUUUGUGUUAUUCUGUACUUAAAUCCGAGAUGCAUUUGGUAUGGUUACAUAAGACAGAUGGUUACUCAAGGCAAAAAUGAAAAGUAGGGUGGUUGGUCAGGCGUAUAAUGCGAAGGUCUAGCAACCCAAAAGUUGAAAGUUUGAAUCUCAUCAAGGACAACAUUAGCAUUUGAGCUAAUUAGCAACUUUCCAACUACCUACUACAUUUGAACUAUUUUGAAACUACUUAGCAUGUUAGCUAACCCUAACCCCUAGCCUAGCUAACGUUAGCGAGUGAGCUAUUGGUAGCCACCUAGCAACCUACCUAGAAUUCAUAACAUAUCAUACGUUUUGAUCAUUCGUAACGUAUUGUACAUUUAGCAAAUUCAUGACAUAUUGCACGUUUUGCACAUUCGUAACAUAUAAUACGAAUUGUAAUUUGUAACAAAUCAUACGAAAUGGGUAAUAGUCAUCCACUAAUUAAUACAUUAAAAAAACAUUAUUUAACCUUUAUUUAUACCAUUAAGAAAUGUAUCAUAACAUACUAUAUGGGGUGUUUCGGAUUAACAUACAGAAUAAUGCGAAAUGCUCUUAGACAAGGUUGCAACAACACUUUUUGCUUUGGCACAGACUGAUUUUCCUAGUUAAAUAAAGGUUAAGAACUAAUUCUUAUUUACAAUGAAUGCCUACUGGGGAACAGUGGGUUUUGUGCUUAUUGCAGCAGCAGAGGGCACUCUCUAUUGGUCUGUCCCGUUACAGUGGAAAACAGAGCUAAACGAAAACGAGUUUGGAACUUCAGAACUUUUCCCGUGGGGUCUUAAAGGAGAACAGAGAGGGGUAUGAAAUUCUGGACAUGAAAACAUACCUUUCAAUGAACAAGAUACAAAACUAAAGGAAUUUCUAAUGUAUCUUUUUAUACAAAACACACAACAUAUAAAACCAGCUCUUUCAGGUUAAAAUCACAUGAGAAAAAUUGUGUAGAUCUGUUUUUGUCCACCUUGGAGUGGUUUGUGUUCUCAGACUGAGUCAGACAGAACAACAGCGCAGAAACUAGGCUCAUAGUGCUCUGUUCCUAGUGCAUCAUUGUCCUGUUUACAACUACUGCUGAGUAGUCUUAAUGACUUCUGCCAUUGCUCAUCAGCCUUUAUACACACAUGGAUUCUUCAGGAUGGUUGCAUAGCAGUCUGUCUGUCCCCUCCAAACUACAUUGUUCAGGCAAUACCAAUACUUUAGAGAGCAUCCCUCCUUCCUUGGUUCCUCCCUUGAAUUUGCUCUUUCCUCCCUUCCUUGAAGGGAGGGAAGGGUGCAUUUUAUAAGUAUUGCAACUGGGCCACUGUCCCCUACUCCUCAGACAGCCUGUAAGGGUUGGACCCGGGAGCCCUGGUAUUUAGGCUUUCCACAGCAACAGCAGUGAACGCAGGAUAGAACAAUCAUAAACAGGAAAGUGGCUGGAAGGAGAGAGAGAGAAAGAGAGAUUUAGCUUUCUAACAUUAUUACCGUACCAAUCAAAAGUUUGAACGCACCAACUCGUUCAACGGUUUUUCCUUAUUUUUUUACUAUUUUCUA
ensembl:lncRNA